CAGCCGCCGCGGUAAUACCAGCAGCCCAAGUGGUGGUCGCGAUUAUUGGGCCUAAAGCGCUCGUAGCCGGGCCGGUAAGUCCCCUGUGAAAUCGGACGGCCUAACCGUUCGGCGUGCAAGGGAUACUGUCGGUCUUGGGGCCGGGAGACGUCCGAGGUACUCCGGGGGUAGCGGUGAAAUGUUCUGAUCCUCGGGGGACCACCGGUGGCGAAGGCGUUCGACGAGAACGGGCCUGACGGUGAGGGGCGAAGGCUAGGGGAGCAAACGGGAUUAGAUACCCGAGUAGUCCCUGUCUCUUAUA
rnacentral:rRNA from 1 species